UUUAGAGUGCAUAUGCACAGUUUUCAAUUAUGAGCGAUUCCUAUAAGUUGGUAAAACAAAGUGCACGUGCUAUCUACUCGACACAUUUUAAAGUUCAGAUUCAAACGUUAGUUUUUGCUUCCCAGGUCAGGCAACCUUUAUACAGAACAUGACAACCUCAAAUAAGCCUACAACUAUGAUCCUCUGCCUCCUCUUUGCCUCUUCUCUUCCAAUGUGGUUGCCUCAUUUAACAUAUCUGCUGCAUCCUUGUUCAUGUCCAGCUUUGCAAGCGCAACUGAUUGCAUGUAAAAAGCCGUAGGCCAGUCUGGAUAAACGCAUUGCGCUUGCAUUGCAUCUCUAAGUGCGGGAUCUGGUUGGUCACAUAACAGAUAGCAGAGACUGCGCCUUGCAAAAACAGUUGGGGAGACCAUAGUUCCCACAUCGAUAAACUGCACAAAUAACACAGCAAAAUCAUCUCAAAAUAACCAACAUGAACAAAGCUAAGCUACAAUCAUUAACAAUGGCUUUAUAAAAUAUGUUUUUGUUCCCCAAAAGUCAACUCAGUUUUUUUACUUUAGUCCCUGAAACUAUUUUUGACUGGUUUUGCUCUUAAAUGUUCCAAUUUUUUUGGUUUUAGUCCCCACCGUCAAUUAAGAGAUGACAUGAGAUGAACUCUCCACCUGCCACAUGUCUUGCUAAUUGCUGAUGCAGGGUGUUGGUGUUGAUAUGUCAUCACUCACCACUUAAUUGACAGCAAAAAGAAAAACUAAAUGUUUAGAGCAUUUAAAGGCUGAAAUCAGUCACAAAAAAUUUAAUGGACAAAAACCAAUUUUCUAGGAUUAAAAACAUAACUAAGCUUUUACAGUGACACCUAAUAAGUGCUAAAUUGCACCUGGGAAUAGUUAUCAAUAGCUGUCUUAAAAUCCUUGUCACGGAAUGCAUAGUCUCCACGCUUCCUCGCCUCCAACAUAUCUCUCAUCUGUUGUGUCCACUCUUGGAAUGACAACUGAACCAAUCCAAAUUCAAAACUUAGAGGAUAGCACCUAACCAAGAGUAGAAAAGAUUAAAACUACUACACUCAUUAGUUACCUCGUUAGUUCCUUCAUCGUCUCUGUAAUGUGUUGAAACCAAGAUCUGAUGUAUUGCAGUGAGGUCCAUUCUUGAACAAGCCUCACCCAUUGCUGAAAGGGGACGUUGUGGGAUUGAUGGAGCUUCCUCAUGCUUUGGAAUUCCAAGCAUGAUGUGAGAACGAACCUGAGCACGCAUAAUAAUAAUAAUCAACUAGAAGUGUUGUUGUUUUGAUCCCAUUGAUGCACUUAAAUUGUCAUAUAACAACAAUGCGCUUUAUAUCAAGAGAAGAUAUUUGCAUUGCAAUAGCUCUAUAUAUACCUCAAAUCGCUGAUCUACAUGGAGAAAUAUACGCUACAGAGAGAAAGACAAUGAAGAGCUGCACACAUUACAAAUUGACAAUAUUACACAAAAAGCAUGGAAGAAGUUCUUUAGCCACAUCCCAAUCUUGAUACACACAACCUUACAUGCGAAGAAGUUGUUUCUAAUCUUGAUAUACGCAACCUUAUACGCAAUCUUGACAAAUUUAGACAAAUUUGGAUUCGACUUCCCAAUCUAAAAUUGUAUGGGUGAGCCUUGGUUUAUAGCACGGCUUGCUCUAAAACAAAGGCUUAUGACACAAGACAGAAUGUAAAUAUUCAACUUCUCAGUUCCUAAUCCAGAAUGUGUCCUAUGCUCCAAUCAGAAUAAAAACCAUCAGCACCUAUUCUUCCAAUGCCCUUGAUCUGCUGAACUUGAUACCUUGACAAUGCAAUGGACUAAAUGUGCCCAGUUUCCUAGUGCAUCUAACCGAUGGAUAGCUUUCAAUCUACAUUCUUCCUGAUGUAGUAGAGUUUAAAAACUAGUGCUAUAUGCAGCAAUUGUAUCAACAAUUUAUCAUAUUUGGAUUAAGAGAAUUUUGAGAACUCUUAGGCAUGUUACAAGGAGCCCAGCUACUGUAUUUGAAAUUUUUCAGCAGGACCUUCUUGUUAGGAUUAGAUGGUGUAGACCAAAGAAAAUGUGGCAUUCUGAAUCUCUAUAUUUGGCAAUCUAUAUAUUUCCUUGCCCAAAAGAAUCUAGCAAGUGUAAAGAUCAUGGCCUAAUGAAACCCAAACCAGAGUCAAGAUGAACUUGUGCUAAUCACCCAGGUUCAACUACAUUUUGACCUUAAACUAUAAAAAAAUGUCCCAGCCUAAGAUCGAGGUUACCAAGUUGGCUAUACUUGAAGGAUAACGAACUAUGGCACCCCAACCAAGUAUAUUACAUGUUGAAAUGUGUAAUUAAAGAAGCAAAUAUUUAAUAUUGGAAGCCAAAGAAUUUGGAUAUUAGACAUCAAAGAAAUUUAACAUCCAACAUAAAGGCUAAUUACUAUUUAGGUGGAAAUAUAAUAGUAAGUAGGGCUGUUCAGGCAACAAAAUUUCAAUAUCUGGUUUAAUAAAGAAUCUGUUCCAUAAUUGAGUUAGAGGAGGAAUCCAUACUUCAGGUUUUGUAUGCAAUGGCGCAAGUGUUGUGACCAACUCCUUUGUAUCAGGGCGCUCCCUAGGUUCAUAUUGCAAACACUUAGAGGCAAGAUUAACAACUACAGUUGCCUCUUCCGUAGAAAACUUCCCCUCUAAAUGUGACUCCAUUAGCAGCAUGUUGUUUUUUCCCUGUAUCAUAUCAAGUGCCUGAAAGCAGAAUAAAAUGAGUCCAUAUGGAACCGGUCAGGAAAACUAAUUGAAAUUUAGUUUAUGUAAGUAUUAUUCGUAAGGCAGUUAGUUACAUACAUGGCUCGGAGGGAUGUGCUUGCCGCUUAGGAGGUCUAGUAGAACUGUGCCAAAGCUGUAAAUGACACUUUCAGGGGUGACCCUUCCUGAAAGAUAAGAUAGUUAAUUAGUGAAUUGAAUGGUAUAGAAUUGUGAUUAAUGAUAAGAUUGAAUGAAUAAAGAAGGGUUACUUACCAUUUCGUAAAUAUUCAGGAGGAGUAUAAGCAAGAUUAGUGCUAUAACUUUUACCAUCCCUGCUAUUCUUCAUUAAACCAAAGCAAGAGAGACGAGGAUCACCUUGUUGAUCAAAGAGAACACGAUAAGCAUUCAAAUCAUGGUAUAAAGGUCUUCCUUGAGAAGUGCAAUAAUUCAAAGCUUGAGCAAUAUAGAGAGCUACUCUCAAUCGCAUUGCCCAUUCAAGGGUUUGAUGUUCCCAAUGAAAGAGAUGUUUAGCGAGAGUGUCAUUAGGCAUAAACUGAGCAACAAGAAGUCUAUGAUCACCAUCACAACAGUAACCAAUCAAAUUAGCAAGCCUUGGAUGGCGUAAUUUAGCAACACCUGAUGCUUCUUCAACGAAUUGUUUUGGAUCUGGCCAUGCUCCUUUGCUGAACUUCUUCACUGCUAUCCACUCACGGUUACUCACUAAUCUUCCUUUGUAUACAAGGUUAGGUGCUUUCUCUCCACUCUCUGAUACUAUCAAUUCUGAACUGAAAUUGUUCGUAGCUGCUUUAAGGUCAGAUAAGGAGAACUCUGAGAAACCAUCAAAACCAUCAAAGCCAAGAGGAGGAAUAGGAGGAGGAGUUGAAGAUGAAUCUGUGUGUGGAAUUGGUGGUUGAGAGAUUGAAGAAGUGAGAUGAUAGGGUUGUUGUUGUUGCUGUUGUUGUUGAUUUCCUUCUUUUUCUUCACUUUUCUCUCUCACUGAUGAUUGGCAACAACCCAUGAUUGAUGCCUAUUCUCUUCUCUUCUCUUCUCUUCAAUUCUCUUUCUCUUUCUCUUUCUCUUCAAUUCUAUUCUUUUCUAUUCUUUUCUAUUCUCUCAAAUAAUAAUAACAUUUACAUUGCUUUCAUCAUGUCUUCCCUAUUCCCUUCUUCUUUUCACUAUUUACUCUUUACUUACCAUUUUUACCAAUCUUCCUCCUCUUCCUACUUCUAUUUCCUUUUUUAUAUAAUAUUAUAAUAAUAAAGAACACAGUCAGUCAUUUUAUAUAUCCCAAAAUCAUCUUUAAAAACUCUGAUUAUUACAUACUUUCCUCUUUCUUUAAACUCUCCACUUCAUAAAUACAUUUAAAUUUAAUUCAAUAUUUUCCAUUUUCAUUUCAAAAGAACCAUAUUUCAUAACUCAUUUUCAAUGAUAAAAGAAUAAAUUAUCCCUCCUUGCUCUUCCUACUUGCUUAUCAUAAUCUUCUCAUUCCUCAUUCAAAAUUUUUGCUGCUCUUGUACAACUUGCUCUCACAAGGUUUCUAAGUUGUUUUGGAUACUUUUGAAUAUUAAUUUGAGACAUGAUUAAAUGAUAUCAAAUAGUCACCAUAUAUAUAUAUAUAUAUAGUCCUUGGAUUCUUCAAGAAGAAAUUAACUAAAAUCAAUAUCAAGUGAAACAAUACACGAUUAAAAAAAGGCAAACAUAAGCAGGGAGUGGGAGACACAAGGUAUAUGAAACAAGUUUAUAUAUCAAUGUGUGCAUUUCUCAAUGUAUUCCACUUAUUUGUGUGUGGAAUUUUGAUAUUUGAUAACUUGUAGGCGUUAGAAUUAGGCAUCCUUCUCUUUCCAUUUAAAGAUCCAAUGUCUCUCUCUUCACCUAUGAGGGGGAAAAUCCCAAAUGGCCUAUCAAAAAAACAUAAUUUAUUCUACUUGCAUUUCAUUAUGCUUGCCCAAUGUCACACAUGGUAGUCUCUGUACAAUAAUUAAACUUAAAAAAGGAAUAUUUUAUGACAAGGACAUAACUUUAUACAUGAAGGCAUCACUCAGAAUCCAAUAUACCAUAAGCCUGCCAGCUAUCUAUGUUUCUUUCUCCCAUUUGUAUGCUCAUUUUACUAUUUCAGUUUGAGCACUACCCUUUCAUCAUCACAAAAACUUGCUCAGGGUUAUGUUAUGUACCUCCAACUCCCUCCUUCGUUCAAACAUGUACUUAUAUUUUCUAAUGUAGAAAGGAAGAUCUGUCCUUAACCCAGCACACCAGUGACAUACAUCAAAAACUUUGGUAUGGUUGGUUUAGUCCGCACAACUUCCCUUGUAGUUUUGUAUUGCUAGGCACACAUUCUCUGAGUAAAACUUGUACAGACAUGUGUCUAUGCAGACAUAACCAAACAGAUUCUCAAGAUAAGUCCACAUAGGCACGUGCCCACACCUCAACCCUAGCAUCUGAACAGACAUGUUCCAUCCCAACACCAAUGCAUAGAGUAACAACAUUUUUGCUCAACUCUUUUCAGAAGGCACAUGAACCCUGUAGAUCAUCAUCUAGUAGCAGGAUAUCAACAAGAAUGUGUUCUUGACAAAUGGUGAAGACAUAGUUCUAACUUGCAUCAAAGUAAAUCACCCUAUGGAACUCAUUCAUGAUCUCUGGUGGCGCUUACUUCUUCACUCCGCUGUAACAACUCAUCAUAAGCUCUCACAGAUUCGUCAGUAAAUCUCUCCAUGGCCUCGAAAAUGCGCUGCAAGCUAGCUUGUAGACUACUGUUUUUGUCGCUCUGAUAUAUGAUAUUUUCAGAAACCGACAGACCCUUACCUUCCCCAGAUGCCAUAAUCACUUUCCGCUCUAAAGCCUGAAUCUGCUUCUGUAGCUUCUGGUCAUCUCUAUCUAAAUUUCUCACCUUUCUCUCAAGAUCCUUGUUGUCCACCAUCUGCCGGUGCAUUUCUAGCUUAUCUUGUUCCCAUACCUGAAGGACACUCAUGGUAAAUACAUGCAUGGAAUCAACAACUUCCUUUUCAGAUAUUCUAUCCAAAGCUUGGGACCACUGAUUACAUAUUACAAAUAUCGGGGGUGCACCUAUUCUACCAGGAGAAAAGGGGACUAUGCCAUCAGGUGUUUCUUCAGGUUCAUACAUGAGACAUUUCAGUAGCCAAUUAUUCAAUGCUCACUCCCUUUGCUAAUAGCUGUUGUGCUGUCUAAGAAUAAAUUUGCAGUUGGUUCUGAAUUUGAACAAUGCAUACAUCCAUCAUUAGAUAACACCUUGUUAAGUUUAAAAAACAUGUGACAAAUCAUCAGUGAAUCACUAGUUUUAUAAUUGUAACGUAUCCUUGUUAUUUGAUGCAUGACAGGAUCUGGCGGGAUAUACCUGUACUCAUCUUGGUCAGCAUGCUUGCUUACUUUUGCUUUCUAGAGCAACUACUGGUAUGCUUUUCUUUGUAUAUGUGAUGUUUAUGAUAGCUGGCUAACUGCUUCUUGCAUCAAGUUUUCUUUGUAUGCUUUUCUUUGUAUUUUCCUUUGUCCUCUUUUAACCGUUUUGUACAAUAUGGAAGUAUGUCUGACACAAUGUUUUCUAGCUUACCAGGUAACAGAUAUGGGACCCCGCGCUCUUGCCAUAUCAUUACCUUUCGCUUGUGUUUUAGGUUUCCUUUCAUCCAUUGUUGCGUCGGCCACGGGUAAACUUUUUCCUUUCUCCUUUCGCUCUCGUAAUGUAUUGUAAAUUUGUAAUAGGAUAACACUUAGAUUGUAUAAACACCUCCAUCAGUUCCAAGUCCUAAUUAUUUUCUCCUGCCUUAGUAGACCUGUAAAUGUUGUACAUUAUGUAAGCUUUCCCUACAACCAGAAGCAAUGAGAUCUCAUUAUGACCUUAAUUGCUUAAUGGAAAUUGUUGAAGAGUAUUACCCUCUUUUAAUGGAAAUUGUUGAAGAGUAUUACCCUCUUUUAAUGGAAAUUGUUGAAGAGUAUUACCCUCUUUUAAUGGAAAUUGUUGAAGAGUAUUACCCUCUUUUAAUGGAAAUUGUUGAAGAGUAUUACCCUCUUUUAAUGGAAAUUGUUGAAGAGUAUUACCCUCUUUUAAUGGAAAUUGUUGAAGAGUAUUACCCUCUUUUAAUGGAAAUUGUGUGUAGUCUUACUCUGGAGUUGCCCUGAUCUUAUGCUGCCAUAGAUUGAUUUCUCUUUAACUUAAAGUUUGAAUAAAAUUAAAAUGUGAACAUGUUUUGGUGGCAGUGAACAGGAGUUACAUAUGGGCUUAUGCAUGCUUCCAGUUUGCAAUUCUGAUCCUGUUUGCUCAUGUAUUUUAUACUAUUGUAAGAUCAUAUACUUCAUAUCCUCACUUCAUCAUGUUAAUGCAGUGGAAGCAAAACGCAUAUAUUUUAACACUUGUUUUUAUUUAUUUAUUACUUGUAGCUUAAUGUUAAUGCAGUACUCUCCGUUCUACUUUCCUCAUUCACUGGAUUUGGGAUAACUAUAAGCGUGAAUUCUCUGCUGAUGGAAUAUAUUAGAUGGAAAGGAAGUAGGGAGAUUCAAGCUUCCAAUGAAGAGCGCCGUGAUAAUAAUGUAUAACAACAGGAUCGUCAACAUCAACAAGAACAACAAGAAAGACAGCAAAAUCAAUGACAGUAGUUGAUACAACUGUUUGAGAGCAGUUUUCUCCAAUUAUGAAAUUGUGUUCUUUUGAUUAUUUUACUUAAUUUUGUCAACAUUUAAAACACAUUAAAAGAUUGAGCAUCUAUCAACGCAACAUUUAUCUAAAUAUUGUUGAAGAAAUCAUUUGAAGCCCAAAAUACAAAGUGUAAGCCGAAUGAAAGGCCUUUUUGAAGCCUCAAAUGCAAGUGCUACACUCUUCAACUUUGCUUCACCAAGAACACUCACCCAAUGUAGAUAUAAUAAGUAGGUUUUGGUGUUUAAAUGAACUAUGGGUUACCACUACGCUUUCCAUCUAUAAUGAUGUGCCAAUGAGAAACAAUCUUCCAUUAUCACAAUCCCUUUUAGUGUUGUUUUACCUUUAUGGAACAUUAUAAAAUGUUACUCUAUAUACAUGUUUUAAAAGGAUAAGUUUUGUUAAUACAUAAAACUAAACUACUGUCUCAAAAACAUAAUUUAUCUCCAUCUGUAAUCUUGUGUGAGCGAGUAUACAAAGCAUGAGUGAGUUUGAACAUAUCUAUAUAAUUUCAUCAAACAAUCAAAUUUCAUUAACAAUUAAAAAGCACUGGUAUUCCUUCCCAAUUUAGAGUGCAUAUGCACAGUUUUCAAUUAUGAGCGAUUCCUAUAAGUUGGUAAAACAAAGUGCACGUGCUAUCUACUCGACACAUUUUAAAGUUCAGAUUCAAACGUUAGUUUUUGCUUCCCAGGUCAGGCAACCUUUAUACAGAACAUGACAACCUCAAAUAAGCCUACAACUAUGAUCCUCUGCCUCCUCUUUGCCUCUUCUCUUCCAAUGUGGUUGCC
rnacentral:lncRNA from 1 species